rnacentral:lncRNA from 1 species
AAUGCAUCCUCUGACAUUUAUAAAUCUUCUAUAUCUAAAAGAAAAUGAUUAAGAUUCAGUAUUUGUCUAAUUCCUUUCCUUUUUCUGGUGGAUGGAAGUUUUGUUACAGAAGAGAGCACUGCCAGGUGAAGAUAAGAAGAAUUUCAUUGUGGGUAACAGUUUCUAGCCACCACGAUUGCUUCCGAAGUCACCUCAAUGAAGGAAGCUGCAGAGACUUCUUCUGGACCAGCCGUGGGCAUGAGUGGUUCAGCCAGGUGUUCCUGAAGGCUCUGUUGGAGAUGUUUGGGGAUCUCAUGGAGGACAUCAGGCAUCUGAAUUUUCAGCUUUGGGC